rnacentral:lncRNA from 1 species
GAGUCCCCCACCAGAAAUGAGACCCGGCUUCCUGAAAAUCGAGACCAAGCCCGUUUGGUACAACCACAACGCGGAGCUCUCCAGCGCUGGGAAGAGGCCCAAGGAGGCCCCGAGGUUCGCAGCCCCAGGCCCCCAGCCCACCCGGGACACCUCUCCCUGAGGAUCCAGGGCCCAAACCAAACAGCAAGUACAAUUCUGAGAACUGUGGAACUUCCUCCUUUCAUUUUAAGCUUCUCCUGCCUUUGCUUGAUGGAAUCGUGUGUCUCUGAUUCCACCUUCCCUUAUGAGAAGCUCCACAUCCCCUUCCAUCCCUGGCUCUCAAGUGCCGUAUAUCUACAAAAGUGAAGAUCUGCUCUAAGAUUGGCUGGCAGAUGCCUGAGGAGCUCCUUUCUGUGAAUUUACUCCAGUUGCCACACCCUGGGCCCCUAGAGCAGUGUUUGUCUCCUGG